rnacentral:rRNA from 1 species
UACGAAGGGGGCUAGCGUUGCUCGGAAUCACUGGGCGUAAAGCGCACGUAGGCGGAUUGCUAAGUCAGGGGUGAAAUCCUGGAGCUCAACUCCAGAACUGCCCUUGAUACUGGCGGUCUCGAGUCCGGGAGAGGUGAGUGGAACUGCGAGUGUAGAGGUGAAAUUCGUAGAUAUCCGCAAGAACACCAGUGGCGAAGGCGGCUCACUGGCCCGGUACUGACGCUGAGGUGCGAAAGCGUGGGGAGCAAACAGG